rnacentral:rRNA from 1 species
AAAUUUAAAUGUUUAGAUUCAAUGCUAAAUAGACGAUAGUGUAAAUAUAUGUUUCCUUUGUAAAAAUAUGGUUGUUGUAUGUAUUAGUGUAUAGAUUUAAUUUAGAGAGUUGUUUCUUGACUGUUAGUCAUCACAGUUAUUCGUCCAUGGAUGUCCCAAUAGAGUGCCAGCAGGCGUGGUUAGACUGAGCAUCUAUUUUAGCUUAGCUUUUAUUAUAUUUUAGAUUUUAUGCUUAUAUUAACUGGUAAAAUAGGUAGUUGUAAGCAACAAGCUAUAUAAUUUUAGUCCUAUUAAAGACAAGGAUUAGAUACCCUUUUAUGUAGGAUGAGAACAAGCUGAUAAUUACAUUAAAAAUUCAAACAAUUUGGCGGUAGAGAAAGAACUCAGAGAAACCUGUGUAUUAAUUGGAUGGUCCACCAUUAUACUUUCUUGAUACAUUUGUUACCUGUAUGUCUGUUUAGAUUAUUGUUAGAUCUUUAGUCUUUUUUCUUUUAUGAUUUAAAUUCAGGUCGAUAUAGGGAUUGUUAUCAAGGUCUCAUGGGUUGCACUAAAGAGUUUUAGUGGUGUUAUUAAUAGACACUUAAUUUGGAUUUGAAAGUAAAUAUUUUAUAAGUAUAUUGAAUUUAUUUUUUCUCUAAGUACAAAUCGCCCGUCACCUCUGUUAUAAAAAAGACUGAGUAAGUCGAAACAAAGUAGGUUGGCUGGAAGGGUAACCUGUAUG